ensembl:snRNA U6 U6 spliceosomal RNA
GUUUAAUAGUUUAAUAGCCUCCUUUAAAAAACAAAAACAUACAGAGAAGAUUAGCAUGGCCCCUGUGCAAGGAUGACACACAAACUCGUGAAGCGUUCCAUGUAUUU